rnacentral:piRNA from 1 species
UAUUUAAAAUUUAUUGUAAUGGGGUCUGC